rnacentral:rRNA from 1 species
GAUGAACGCUGGCGGCGUGCUUAACACAUGCAAGUCGAACGAAGCACCUUAUUCUGAUUUCUUCGGAAUGAAAAAUUUGGUGACUGAGUGGCGGACGGGUGAGUAACGCGUGGGUAACCUGCCUCAUACAGGGGGACAACAGUUAGAAAUGACUGCUAAUACCGCAUAAGACCACAGCACCGCUUGGUGCAGGGGUAAAAACUCCGGUGGUAUGAGAUGGACCCGCGUCUGAUUAGGUAGUUGGUGGGGUAACGGCCUGCCAAGCCGACGAUCAGUAGCCGACCUGAGAGGGUGACCGGCCACAUUGGGACUGAGACACGGCCCAAACUCCUACGGGAGGCAGCAGUGGGGAAUAUUGCACAAUGGGGGAAACCCUGAUGCAGCGACGCCGCGUGAGCGAUGAAGUAUUUCGGUAUGUAAAGCUCUAUCAGCAGGGAAGAAAAUGACGGUACCUGACUAAGAAGCACCGGCUAAAUGCGUGCCAGCCGCCGCCGUAA